CAUUGAUGGUGAUGCUUUCCAGACAAUGAGUGAUGCUGGAUUUCCUGGGUUACGCAAAUAGCCUAGUACUCAGACUAGGUAGAGAGAUCUGAAAGCCUAUCUUUAGGUUUUCCGUGGUUUGAGGGGUUCGAAGUGUUGAGUUUAGGUAGGCCUACGCAAUGUUUUCCUUUCAAAAAUGCAUUAUUGGUCAAAAUUCUGAGUUUGUCAAGACUGGUAUAAUCGUUUGUUUGUGAUUCUAGGAGUGAUUCCAGCCAAUGGGAAGGUGGAGGUGACCGUCACAUUCAGACCGUUCCAGUAUGACACGUCCCAGGUCACUCUACAGGUGGUCAUCUCCCAGUUCAACUCCAAACCCUAUGUCUGCAGCCUCAGCGGGUCCUCCUCGCCCCACCUGACACUUACGUAUGCCAGAACCAUUUUGAAAUGUUAAAGUCAACAGGAGAAAGACAUGGGACACGCAAAAUACGUUUUGUUUGUUGACAGUCAAGGGCCUCCACCUGUCUCCUUGAGACAGCCUCUGACCAAAACCAAGCAGAGGUCAAUUCGGACACCUGAAAAGUCAAAGACUGUAAGGGAGAGAAGAGAGAGUGAUGCGAAGCUGAGCCUGAAGACUGCAGUUGAUGUGUCCUCCCCUGCUGGAGUGGUCAAGAUACUGAUACAACGGACUGAUAAAUUGAGCUCUUAAGACCUGAGGGAAGGCACCGGUGGGCACGCCUUCCUUUCGCAUGUACUCCAGCAGUCAUCUGGAGAUCAGGCAGAGAGCUCUGAGGCUCUUCCAGCAGGCAGCCCGCAAGGAACAGUACUUAGCCCUCUCUCUUUCACUCCAUUGGCCUUAAAUUAGGCCCUAUAGGCAUCGAGUGCCUCAUCCCAUCCCACUCAACACAACGGUUUCACUCACAAACCACAAGCCAAAACCCUGUGAGGCGGUGUGUAUACUCUCUAUGAUAACGAUCUUAAGACAUGUCAUAAAAUUGUGUAGUAGUCCCUGUCGUAUGUCUGGGAUGGGAAUUCCUAAGGUAAGCUAUAUUUAAUGAUGUAGCCUACAUUCAACCAAAUGACAAACUGUAAAACCAGUAUGUUUUACAAUAUCUCAUAGGCAGUUGGAAAGCUGACAAUGUCCAAGUCCUGGUUCUCUUUAAUAUCAAAUGUAUCCCAAUGCACACUUGAAAACAUUUUUGGGUUUUGUAUUUAUAUCAUUCUCUAUUUGAGCAAGAAACAUGUACCGUAACAGAUGUCAUACAGCAGGAAGAGGGUUUACUCACAAACAUGCAUAACCUUUCGAAACAACACAACCUCUGAGUGCACCAUGUGUUUCAGGUGGUGAUUCAAUGUCGUGUGAACAACAGACUGGUCUCGUUGAGGCAGCUGACUCAAAGCUUGAAGCGCCUGUCCACAGGAGUAAGAGGUAUUGCACUGUUGAGACCCCACAGGGAAAACGUGUUCUCUAUUUGACACAGGUAUAUGAUCAAAAUACAUACCUGAACGAUGCAGCACACGCAUUUGUUGUGCCAAAAUUUAAAAAAAUAUAUUUUCAAAUGAUGUGAACCCCCAAGUCAUUUUGAUGUUGGAAGCAAGCAAGAUGCAUGCAUUUUUCUGUUUUCAGUUGAGGAGGAGCCCCUUCAUCCCCUGAAGAUCUCACCAGACAACGUGAUUCCUUUCACAUUCUGAUCAACUGGUAAAUGCAGUGCACUUUGAUCAAAAGCCAUCUUGUUCUUGCGUGGACUACUUGAAAAGAAGGGACACUGAUUUGAUUUGCCCAGUAGCUUGUAUUCAUUAAAAUGAUUUAGUGAAAAUGACCAUAACGUCGUGUUGGCCUUGUACUUUAUGCCCAGGCUCCCAAUGCAUGGGGUGCCGUCCAUGUUAGGCCCAUUGAGGCCCUGGUCAAAUGACACACUCCGUUCAUCAAACUGAAGGUACGUUUACAUGAGAGUUCUUUGCCUGAAUAAAGAAUCGUUGAUGUUGCUUGUACAUUGUAGCACUAACAACGAGCUAUGUUUGCCUUUCAGUCACUCAUGUAAACGUACCUGCUGAUGGUGACAGGGAUUUUGCUUAGAAAUUGUACAGUAACGUGCUCACUUGUGUCACAUUACGUGUGUUGUUUUUCAAGGUUCCCCAGCACUACAAGUUAAUGGGGUACCAGCCUGUUUCGGCCUUUGAGGCUGCCGCUAGCUACAUCCCCCCCCAUCCCAGCCCAGGACGCUAUGCACUGGGACACAGGUGAGCCAAGAGACUCACCACCAACACUGUGGGAGACUUACGUAGGUGGUGUGCAAUACACAGAUCCAUUUAUACAAAGGAAAUACAUCACAGUCAAUCCUUUAAGCCUUUUAUGAGACGAUGUACACGUGAUAUAACAUAAACAAUGAUGUGAAUCAGCAAUAACCCUGAGAACUCUGAAUGGUUUGAUUGAUUACUUAAUGGUGUCACUGU
rnacentral:lncRNA from 1 species